rnacentral:tRNA from 1 species
GUAGCGCAAUGGAUAGCGCGUUGGACUUCUAAUCCAAAUGUCGUGGGUUCGAAUCCCCCUCUCA